UGAGGAAUAUUGGGCAAUGCCCGCAAGGGUGACCCAGCAACGCCGCGUGGAGGAUGAAUGUCGUAAGAUUGUAAGCUCCUGUUAGAGGGGAAGAAUAGUACCGGUUGGACCGGUAUAUGACUGUACCCUCAGAGAAAGCCCCGGCUAACUACGUGCCAGCAGCCGCGGUAAUACGUAGGGGGCAAGCGUUGUCCGGAUUUACUGGGUGUAAAGGGCGCGCAGGCGGGAUAAAAAGUCAGUGGUGAAAUCCUACAGCUUAACAGUAGAACUGCCUUUGAUACUUUUAUUCUUGAGUUCGGGAGAGAGAGACGGAAUUCCAGGUGUAGUGGUGAAAUACGUAGAUAUCUGGAAGAACACCAGUUGCGAAGGCGGUCUCUUGGUCCGACACUGACGCUGAGGCGCGAAAGCGUGGGGAGCAAACA
rnacentral:rRNA from 1 species